UUUGCCUUUUGUGAUACGCUUUCAAAGAGUCAGGUUGUUUGGGAAUGCAGCCUAAAUUGGGUGGUAAAUCUCACCUAAAGCUAAAUAUUGGCGAGAAACCGAUAGCGAACAAGUACCGUGAGGGAAAGAUGAAAAGAACUUUGAAAAGAGAGUUAAACAGUAUGUGAAAUUGUUAAAAGGGAACCGUUUGGAGCCAGACUGGCUUGUCUGUAAUCAAUCUAGGCUUCGGCCUGGAUGCACUUGCAGGCUAUGCCUGCCAACGACAAUUUGACUUGAGGGAAAAAACUAAGGGAAAUGUGGCCCACUUGUGGGUGUUAUAGUCCCUUAGAAAAUACCUUGGGUUGGAUUGAGGAACGCAGCGAAUGCUUUUUGGCGAGUUUUCCAGGAAGGUUUUCUGAGGUACUACGGUAUCAAGGUUGAUCUUUU
rnacentral:rRNA from 2 species